GAUGAACGCUGGCGGCGUGCUUAACACAUGCAAGUCGAACGGAAAGGCUCCUGCUUGCCGUGGUACUCGAGUGGCGAACGGGUGAGUAACACGUGGGUGAUCUGCCCUGCACUUCGGGAUAAGCCUGGGAAACUGGGUCUAAUACCGGAUAGGACGAUGGUUUGGAUGUCAUUCUGGAAAGUUUUUCGGUUGGGGAUGAGCUCGCGGCCUAUCAGCUUGUUGGUGGGGUAAUGGCCUACCAAGGCGUCGACGGGUAGCCGGCCUGAGAGGGUGUACGGCCACAUUGGGACUGAGAUACGGCCCAGACUCCUACGGGAGGCAGCAGUGGGGAAUAUUGCACAAUGGGCGCAAGCCUGAUGCAGCGACGCCGCGUGGGGGAUGACGGCCUUCGGGUUGUAAACUCCUUUCGCUAGGGACGAAGCGCAAGUGACGGUACCUGGAGAAGAAGCACCGGCUAACUACGUG
rnacentral:rRNA from 1 species